rnacentral:rRNA from 1 species
UAGGGAAUCUUCCGCAAUGGGCGAAAGCCUGACGGAGCAACGCCGCGUGAGUGAUGAAGGUCUUCGGAUCGUAAAACUCUGUUAUUAGGGGAACAAAUGUGUAAGUAACUAUGCACGUCUUGACGGUACCUAAUCAGAAAGCCACGGCUAACUACGUGCCAGCAGCCGCGGUAAUACGUAGGUGGCAAGCGUUAUCCGGAAUUAUUGGGCGUAAAGCGCGCGUAGGCGGUUUUUUAAGUCUGAUGUGAAAGCCCACGGCUCAACCGUGGAGGGUCAUUGGAAACUGGAAAACUUGAGUGCAGAAGAGGAAAGUGGAAUUCCAUGUGUAGCGGUGAAAUGCGCAGAGAUAUGGAGGAACACCAGUGGCGAAGGCGACUUUCUGGUCUGUAACUGACGCUGAUGUGCGAAAGCGUGGGGAUCAAACAGG